rnacentral:rRNA from 1 species
GACGAACGCUGGCGGCGUGCCUAAUACAUGCAAGUAGAACGCACAGUUUAUACCGUAGCUUGCUACACCAUAGACUGUGAGUUGCGAACGGGUGAGUAACGCGUAGGUAACCUGCCUGGUAGCGGGGGAUAACUAUUGGAAACGAUAGCUAAUACCGCAUAAUAUUAAUUAUUGCAUGAUAAUUAAUUGAAAGGUGCAAUUGCACCACUACCAGAUGGACCUGCGUUGUAUUAGCUAGUAGGUGAGGUAACGGCUCACCUAGGCGACGAUACAUAGCCGAACUGAGAGGGUGAUCGGCCACACUGGGACUGAGACACGGCCCAGACUUCUACGGGAGGCAGCAGGAGGGAAUCUUCGGCAAUGGACGAAAGUCUGACCGAGCAACGCCGCGUGAGUGAAGAAGGUUUUCGGACCGUAAAGCUCUGUUGUAAGAGAAGAACGGGUGUGAGAGUGGAAAGUUCACACUGUGACGGUAUCUUACCAGAAAGGGACGGCUAACUACGUG